UACGUAGGCAGCAAGCGUUGUUCGGAGUUACUGGGCGUAAAGGGUGCGUAGGCGGCCCUGUAAGUAUGGUGUGAAAUCUCCCGGCUUAACUGGGAGGUGCGCUAUAGACUGCGGGGCUCGAGUGUGGGAGAGGAAAGUGGAAUUCCUGGUGUAGCGGUGAAAUGCGUAGAUAUCAGGAGGAACACCGGUGGUGUAAACGGCUUUCUGGACCAUAACUGACGCUGAGGCACGAAAGCGUGGGUAGCAAACAGG
rnacentral:rRNA from 1 species